rnacentral:lncRNA from 1 species
AUGCUAAAAGCUUUUUAUUUUGCUUUUUUCUGGACAUGGUGGGAGGGAGGGAGGACUGGGCCUUUCAGAAAGCAUACAGUUGACAGGAUUCCCUCUUUCCUAGUAAUAGCUUAUAAAACUCUUAUGUAUGCACAAAUAUUUCUCUUGCGUGCAUGUGAAAUGCAUUUUCGUCCUGAGAAAAGUGUUCUCUGCAGAAACUACCCGUGUGUAAAAAGAAGAUUGGCUUUAAAAGGCAACUGUGAUGGGAACAGUGUCUUAGGGAGAUGCAGCUUGGACUUGAGACAUUUAAUCAUCAGUGAAGAAAGGGAAGUGAGAUAUGCGAGUCUCUUCACUGUGGCUUGCCUCCAGUAGACACUAUCUGCUAAGAGAAGCCUGUGAUUUGCAAACUGCAAUCAAGAAUAAAAGAAAGAACCAUCCUUAGAAAACA